GUGAGGAAUAUUGCGCAAUGGAGGCAACUCUGGCGCAACCAUGCCGCGUGCAGGAAGAAGGCGCUACGCGUUGUAAACUGCUUUUAACCGGGAAGAAACCCCAGGACGUGUCCUGGGUUGACGGUACCGGAGGAAUAAGCACCGGCUAACUUCGUGCCAGCAGCCGCGGUAAUACGAAGGGUGCAAGCGUUAUCCGGAUUCAUUGGGUUUAAAGGGUGCGUAGGCGGAGCGUUAAGUCAGUGGUGAAAUCCUGCAGCUUAACUGUAGACUUGCCAUUGAUACUGGCGCUCUUGAGUGCGCUUGAAGUGGGCGGAAUGUGCCGUGUAGCGGUGAAAUGCUUAGAUAUGGCACAGAACACCAAUUGCGAAGGCAGCUCACUAAGGCGAUACUGACGCUGAGGCACGAAAGCGUGGGGAUCGAACAGGAUUAGAAACCCCUGUAGUCC
rnacentral:rRNA from 1 species